UUACUUACAUGGCUCAGAGGCGACCACCAAGGUGGUUCCUCCAGGGCGAGGCCUUUCCAUUGCACUAUAAGGAUGGGUUGACGUUGACCCUUGCGAUUAAUCCAAAUUGAUUAACUUGGAAGCACACUUUUUCUGGUGGGGACUGCGUUCGCGCCGUUUCCCU